rnacentral:tRNA from 1 species
UGCGGAGUGGAGCAGUGGUAGCUCGCUGGGCUCAUAACCCAGAGGUCGACGGUUCGAAUCUCGUCCUCCGCAACCA